UGGGGAAUAUUGCACAAUGGGCGAAAGCCUGAUGCAGCAACGCCGCGUGAGUGAUGAAGGCCUUCGGGUUGUAAAGCUCUGUCUUCUGGGACGAUAAUGACGGUACCAGAGGAGGAAGCCACGGCUAACUACGUGCCAGUAGCCGCGGUAAUACGUAGGUGGCAAGCGUUGUCCGGAUUUACUGGGCGUCAAGGAUGAGUAGGCGGAUACUUAAGUCAGAUGUGAAAAUCCCGGGCUUAGCUUGGGAACUGCAUUUGAAACUGGGUAUCUAGAGUGCGGGAGAGGAAAGUGGAAUUCCUAGUGUAGCGGUGAAAUGCUUAGAGAUUAGGAAGAACACCAGUGGCGAAGGCGACUUUCUGGACCGUAACGGACGCUGAGGCAUGAAAGCGUGGGGA
rnacentral:rRNA from 1 species